rnacentral:lncRNA from 1 species
GAUUUUCCAGGCAAGAGUACUAGAGUGGGGUGCCAUCGCCUUCUCUGCUGUUGUUACUGGUUAAUUUAUUAGUAACACAUCUCACAGUUAGUCUCAAAACUGCUUCUGUUUGGACAAUAAAUUGCAAGGUCAUCCAUCCCAGUUACAAGUGACAACUGGCUGGAAAAAGGUGACACUAGGUUCUAGAAAGGGGCAGAAGAACAAACAUUUCCAUUGGCUGAAAACACCCAGCUUGUGCUGUGCUGGGCACCUAGAUGGCCUGUUUCAGGGCUAAGAAGUCGGGGGACCCCUGGAAUCCUGGCAGGUUUGGGGGAUGAGGAAAGCCUGGAUGCUUCUAGCACUUCCUGAAGAGCAAGGGCUGGGUCAAAUGAGAAAGAAGUCUGCGGUUGGCUUCUUGCCAUCGCAUUUGCUAUCUUCCUGACCUUGGGAAGGCACGUGAGGCAUCUGACCAACACUUUCCUAGUCUGUAAAAUGGGGGUGUUUACCUCCGAAGGCUGCUUCUCUUAUUUAACUGUUGGUCAGUAUUCUUUCAUUAUGCAGCUGACGACACAUAAGUUAUGGGAGGGCAGACUGUGCCAGUACAGGCUCAUAAUUCUCAGAGCUACAUUAUGAGCCAAGUACUCAGGCAGUCAGUGCACAGUAUCUAAUUUCCAAAGGAGAAAACGGAGACUUGGAGAGAGAACUUGUAUAAGGUCACACAACUCAUACAUGGCUGGGGAAGACUGACCCCAGGAAAAAAAAAAUCUGGUUCAAAGCUCACGCUCUAACUAUAUAAAGGCUAUUGAGCUGAAGGGAGGAAGCCGCCAGCGGCCAGCUCUGCUCUUCCCAGACUCCCAUCUCCAGGGCUCUUUGCUCACCCGCACAGUCCCUCCAGGAUCGCACCCUGGAAGAGGAGCAAACACAACAAAGGGCGGAGGAGAGCCUGGCCGACCGAUCGACAGCCCACAAAACGCGAUGACUGGACCCCAGCACACCACUCGGCGAUGGUGCCAAGCGUCCUCCCUUCGGUCCAGAAAACAGGCCACCUUUGAGACUUGCUCCCUGGGCGGGGAGGAAGCGCGGAGCCCCCGGGUCGGGCUUAGAGCUUACGCUCCAGGGAGGUUACGGCCGAGGCGGCGGUGGCGAGCCCGGGGGCGAGGCGCGGACGGGAAGAGGAAAAGCUUCCAGCGGCCCCGGCGGGCGAGCGGGCGGCGGUGCACCCACGGCCGUGCCCCGAGGUGAAGCCGCGCGGGGAGAGGAAGCGGGUGUUUUCCCCUCUGCCUUUCGGCCCCCGCCCUUCCUUUCAGUUUCUCCCGGUUCGCUCGGAAGUUGGAGGUUGACAAAAAUGGCAGGAGCCGGGGCCCGGGCGGGUCU